ACAAACAAAAACAAAACCGGUAUAAUUUACAAUGUGCAAGUUGUAAAAAAGCUUCUGAUAAAUCCAGAAAAUAGGCUUAACGAAAUUCAAGAAUUUUCUGAGUCUUGUGACUCUCUAUAAUUUUAGUGUUUUACCAGUUAUUUUUUAUUCAUGACUUAUAUUUUUAUAAAUAUUCUUAGUGAUGACAAGAAACUUUGGGUAUACGUCUAAAUAAUAGGAAAGACCUGCCAAGUAAAGACUUAGGUCUGGCCUGUUUAAAUUCUUGUCUGUUUUUAAUACUUUAAAAAGCUGUAGAUGGACACUGAAGGAUUCAGGAUACUGCACUGGACUUGUGGUAUCACUGUUGUGAACUUUAUGUUUAAAGACUUCUCUUAUUUAAUGUGUAAAUUACCAUAUUGCAGGAGUCUUAUGCAGAAAUGUUACUUCCCUAAUGCAUUUGAUUUACUUUAUUUUCUUUGGUUGAUUUCAGAUGAAAAUAUGCCUGCUUAUUUUUUCUAGUUCUCUGAAAGGUGAUGUUGAGUGUGUUAGUCACGUGUGUUCUUGUUCUUUUGCAGAUGGGCUCAAGCCAGAUACCAAGAUGCUGCUAACUGCUGCCUCCAAGAAGAAAUCGAAGGGAGGGAAGGGGGAUAUGACCAAGGAGGAUGAAAGCAGCAAGAAUGAUUCAGCCCAACCUGUUACUGUCUCUCUUAUCUUUAAAAGAUAUGUUUUUGACACACAGAAGAAAAUGAUUCAAUCCUGAGGAGGCGUCUGAUUACACCCCAAAGUCCAGACCCUGAAAUGCAUUGAGGUGGAACGUGUUUCUUGUCCAAACACAUUAAACCUGUUUCUUCCUCACAAACAGAGCCUGGAAGCUCAUGGUGACUGUGCCCCCUUCUGCAAUGUCUGCAAUCUCAUAUUGCUCUGUUCAAAUUUGCUUAUUUUGUUAUCUCUCUGAUGUGCAUCUUUAUGGCAUCUCAGAGAAUCUCACCUGCUGGAUGAACACAUUUGAGUGUAUGUUCUAAUUGCACUGUUUUCCUGGAUAAUUGUCUUGAAGUUUCUCUUGAUUUAGAAGUUUGCCAUCAAUAUUAAUCUAAAUCAAGUCAAGAUGUGAAUUUCAUGUGACCCACAAAGUGAAGCUGAUUAUUCUAGGCUUACUUCCUUGAGCAAAGUGGGAGACAGAAGGCACACUAUUUAAUAGGUGAAACCUAAAAUGGAUGUUUCACAUUCCUUCAGUUGCAACUAUGUAAGAUGUUAUCUGAGUGAUGGUAUGGAUGUUUUUUAUAAAUAUGAUUUAUAUCUAGAAAUGUUUUUCAUAUUAAACAUAAUGAUCUGUGUAGCUGAGAGUCUUAAUUUUUCAAUUUGCUGUUCCAAAGGUUCAGAAUUUAUCGUCAGUGACAUUUUAUGUAACUUCUCUGAUUUUCCUGCCUGUUCUGCAAUGAAUCCUAUUCCAAAACUGUUUUCUUUUUCUUUUUGCUUUUUUUUAAAUUUUGUAACCAAAAUGCCUUUUGUGUGUGAAAGAAAAUGUUGCCUCUGGAAAUAGUCAAGGGCUUUAUUUCAUUAAAAUAAUGAUAGAAGAUUGCUGCAUAAGCCUUGUAAAAUGAGUGUCUCCAAGAUGCUUUAGAAACCAUUAGUUUUUAAUAGGGAUUUCAUGGCUGCUUUAGCUCUUUCUCUCAAUUUCAUGUCCUAGGCUCAUAAAAAGGAGAGCAUUGGUAAUAUCCCUUCCAUGUUUCAUACAAAGUAUAGGACACCUUAACAUGAAAACUAACAGCAAUUCCACAGGUAUGAAAGCUGCAGUCUGGAACAGAAAUUGAACUUGGACUUGGCAGCAUGGCAAAUGUUAGUUCCUGCCUUUGGAACCAAAAGAGUUCCUGCUUGUUGAUGCUGAAUAGCAACCUGUCAGCUAUAGAUGGUGACCAUAUGUAUAAUGUCGCCAAAGUGGCUACAGAUGGCAAAGCUGCCAGCUACUGAGAGGAUAUUUACAGCUGGACAGUUGUGAGACAGAGCAAGCCUGGUGUCUAAACUAGGCUGAUGGUCCCCCUUUAAAUCAGAGCAGAAUUAGUGCUUUGUGUAAUAAUCCCAAACAGUUUCUGCUGAGUGAGUCCCAGCAAAGCUUUAGCACAUCCCUUAAGAUUAUGGGGUAUGCUUUCAGUGUGAUCCCAGAGGAAUUAGGCAGGCAACUUCAGCUAUUGGCUUAACGUAACUUGUGCUGCCAGCCUUGCUGGAAAAUGUAUCCUUCUCUAAUGGAAAAAAUGCAUUUCACACCCCUGUCACCUCUCCUUCCCCAUUUCUCUCUUCUUCCCAAACACCCCCAAAAGCAGUCUUUGGAAAGAAUAUUUUAAUGUUAUCUUUGUUUUAAGCCUUUAUCAAAUCCUGUUUUGUACUCUGUACUGUUACCUCUGCCUAAGAUAUUGCGGUGAUGGAACAUAGAGAAACAGAUGACACUGAAGGAACAGUGUUACUAUCAUUUCAGGUUAGUCUAAGAAUUAUGGGUAUUAAACCUAAUUAAAUACUCUUCGUUAUUAAGGAACUUAUACUUUAAUCUGUAUAGUUCUAGUGUCCUUGCCAAAUUUUAAAUGGGUUGCUAAUUUGGAGUAUUGGAAAGAAAAGGGGAGUGAUCAGGAAAGGUGCUUCCAGAGUUGUUAUCCUUUCACUUACAUGGUUUUGUCUUUCUCAUUUCUAAGGCACUUUUGAGUAGUUCUGGAGAGGAGGUUGUCAGUGUAAAUGGGGGUAUGUAUUUUUACAAAAGCCUGUCUGAUGAAUGUUUUCUCCCCCACACCGUGGAUUGCCCUUAACAGGAUCAGUGAGUCUGUUGUUAUGGAACUUGAUCCCUUUGAAAACUCAUUAACCCUGAACACUUAGAUUUGCAGCCCUCUGCUUGGCUGAAAGGACUCCUAGUGCAGAGAGUCCCAUGGUUUAUUUGCUUGGGGUACUCCAGGAGAGUAAGCAGCAAUAAUUCCAGAGUUGGACCUACAUCCCUUUCUCAUGCAGUCACUUGUAAACAUAUUUUUGAAAUCUUUCUCCAAUUUUCCAUUUCAUUUCCAAACUAGCACACUAACUUAGCAUUUUUCUUCCAUCUUCUCAGUCUAAGACCUGAUCUUCUCCUCAGUGCUCCCAUUUCCUUCUUUGCUCGUUGCUUCUCCGUGCUCUGGCUCUGCUCUUGUCCUGGAGAUCCAUGGCAGGGCUCCCACGACAUUGCUGGGAGCCCAGUGAGGUGGGGAAGGCCCUUGGCAUGGAGCUCAUCCCAGCUGCUGUGCGUGCUGAGGAGCUGCCUCUGUUCAGGCUCUGACUCUGGGCAGCUCUGAUGGACCCCCAGGAUCAGGCUGUGCCUUCACCUGCCACCCUACCCUGUCCUUGUGCCUUAGAAUCCGUUGCAGAAAGCCCCUGUGACAAAGCCUCAUCCUUUUAUUUUGCUCCUGUUGCAGAGCUCCCAAUGUAGAAUUCCAAAGGGAGAACCUAAGUGUGCCCAAGAACUUUGAUUGUAAUGUGCUUUUACUGCAGAUCUCUGGCUGCUGUCCUGAGGCUGUUGGAUACACAUUCGAAAAAGGGUGAAAUGGUGGAACAAAAUGAUUAUGGGAAAAUCAAAGCUUUUAAAGACAUUUGUAGGAUGAACAGAUGUUCAAACAUUCUUUUAUUUGGUUUCCAGACAGACGUAGAGACUUUCCUUUCAUCCUCAUAAUCAGUGCAUUAUGCUGUAAUUUGUAAAAAUGGCAUUAAAAAAAUAUUAACAGGGUCAUAUUGUGAUCUACUGACUCUGUGUCAUUAAGCCGUGAAGUUAAGAACGGCAACUGGGAACACGGGUUAAAUGUUGCAGAAUGUACUGUACUAGCAUAUAUUGUCAGACUGUGUUAUAAUGAAUCCAAAAUAGAAUAAAGAUGUGAGGAGCUUUUUAAUACUGC